rnacentral:rRNA from 1 species
AGAUUGAACGCUGGCGGCAUGCCUAACACAUGCAAGUCGAGCGGGCGUAGCAAUACGUCAGCGGCAGACGGGUGAGUAACGCGUGGGAACAUACCUUUUGGUUCGGAACAACACAGGGAAACUUGUGCUAAUACCGGAUAAGCCCUUACGGGGAAAGAUUUAUCGCCGAAAGAUUGGCCCGCGUCUGAUUAGCUAGUUGGUGAGGUAACGGCUCACCAAGGCGACGAUCAGUAGCUGGUCUGAGAGGAUGAUCAGCCACACUGGGACUGAGACACGGCCCAGACUCCUACGGGAGGCAGCAGUGGGGAAUAUUGGACAAUGGGCGCAAGCCUGAUCCAGCCAUGCCGCGUGGGUGAUGAAGGCCCUAGGGGUUGUAAAGCCCGUUUCGGCGGGGAAGAUAAUGACGGUACCGCAGAAGAAGCCCGGCUAACUUCGCGCCAGCAGCCGC